rnacentral:ncRNA from 1 species
CAAAAGCUUGGUCCUGACUUUAUUAUCAACUUUAGCUAAAUUUACACAUGCAAGUAUCCGCACCCCGGUGAGAAUGCCCGUAGUCUCCUACCCUGAGGCACGGAGCUGGUAUCAGGCUCAACUUUAGCCCAUAACGCCUUGCUUAGCCACACCCCCAAGGGAACCCAGCAGUGAUAGACAUUAAGCCAUGAGUGAAAACUCGACUUAGUAAAAGCUAGGUAGGGCCGGUAAACCUCGUGCCAGCCACCGCGGUUAUACGAGGGGCCCAAGCUGAUAAACUACGGCGUAAAGGGUGGUUAGGGGAAACAAAAACUAAAGUCAAACGCCCUCAAUGCUGUUAUACGCUUGCGAAGGUAUGAAGCCCAUCUACGAAAGUAACUUUAAUAAACCUGACUCCACGAAAGCUAGGAAGCAAACUGGGAUUAGAUACCCCACUAUGCCUAGCCCUAAAUAUUGAUCAUUAACUUACAUAUCCAACUCCGCCUGGGAACUAUAAACACGAGUUCGAAACCCAAAGGACUUGGCGGUGCUUAACAUCCACCUAGAGGAGCCUGUUCUAUAACCGAUAACCCCCGUUAAACCUCACCCUCUCUUGUUUAUACCGCCUAUAUACCACCGUCGUAAGCCCACCCUGUGAAGGACUUAUAGUAAGCUAAAACGGCAAAGCCCAGAACGUCAGGUCGAGGUGUAGUGUAUGUGAGGGGAAGAAAUGGGCUACAUUCGCUAGCUAUAGCGAACUACGAAUGUUGUGUUGAAACUACACGGCUGAAGGAGGAUUUAGUAGUAAGCAGGAAAUAGAGCGUCCUGCUGAAACCGGCUCUUAAGCGCGCACAUACCGCCCGUCACCCUCUCCAAGUCUCACACUAAAAUUAACUAAAACAUUUUCUAAGCAGAGGAGAGGAAAGUCGUAACAUGGUAAGCGCACCGGAAGGUGUGCUUGGAUAAAC